GUUCUGGCAGAUCUCGUUGUAGCCCAAGUAGCCGGUAGAGCCGGUGUAGGAUCCAGCGGAGCCCUCGCCGCGGCACGGUGCACCCGGCCAGUUCUGGGAGGAGUCCGACAGCUGGAAGGAGCGUCCGUAAGUGCCCACGCCGAGCACCAGCUUGUUGGCCGGAGCACCUUGGCUCAGCCAAAAGUUAAUGGCGUUCUCCACGGCCCACUGGGGGGCAUUGAAACCGGUCUGGCCAUCGGAGGCCAUGGCAAAGUCGUAGGUCAUCACGUUGAUAAAGUCGACCUGCUGAGCAAUGUUGGCGAUUUCGUAGGAUGCACUGGCCAAUGAUUCACCGGCGCCCACCGCAAUACCCAAUUCAUAGCCAUAGGGAGCGAACCUAUAGGACAUAAAUCAUUUAAAACUAAAGUAUGCUUCGGUAGUGGCUCCUCCACUACUCACGCCUCCUUAAUCUCGCGCAGCAGAGUCACAAAGUUGGCACGAUCGUUCCAGUUGCCACCACGCUGGUUGGGGUACUCCCAGUCCAGAUCCAGACCAUCGAAUCCAUGGUUGCGCAGCAGGUUCAGGGCGGAGUUAAUGAAGUUCUGGCGCUUGUACCAAUCGCCGGACAUCGAGGAGUACUUGGUGGAGCCCUCGUUCCAGCCGCCGACCACGGCCAGGACUUUCAGGUUGGAGUUUUGGUUCUUCAGGCUAAUCGCCUGGUUGAUGAAGCCCAGAUCGUAGUCCAGCCAAGUGUCCAGGGAUUGGAUCUCACCAUUGUCGUUGAUUCCGAAGAAGGAGUAGCUCAGAUGGGUGCACAGACCGGCAUCGAUAUUGGACACAUCGAACUUGCCAUUGCCGCUGCGGUAGUUGGCCCAGGUGCCCCAGUAGCAGUUGACGAUGCCUGGAUAACAGAUCAGGAAUACAGAUCGAUUAGCUUUUAAGCCAACACCAAAUUCGCGUAGAUUAGACUUACGUUCAGCACCGAUAACCUGGCUAAGGCAGAGGACAGCGAGUAGUGCCAAUAACUUUCCCAUUGCACGAAAUGCUUAUUACUUCUUGUUCCAUCUAGGUAUUUAUACCCUUCCGCACCGAUCUUAUCAAUACCAUUAUCUUUAUCAGCUGUGUCGGCUACUCCACUCCAAUUGUCGGACUAAUUUAUUGGGUCUUCGUCGCGUGCUUUGAAUUGUAAUAUUUAUACUAGCGACCG
ensembl:ncRNA asRNA:CR44703 antisense RNA:CR44703